GACGAACGCUGGCGGCGUGCCUAAUACAUGCAAGUAGAACGCACAGUUUAUACCGUAGCUUGCUGCACCAUAAACUGUGAGUUCCGAACGGGGGAGUAACGCGUAGCUAACCUGCCUGGUAGCGGGGGAUAACGAUUGGAAACGAUAGCUAAUACCGCAUAAUAUUGAUUAUUGCAGGAUAAUUGAUUGAAAGAUGCUAUUGCAUCACGACCAGAGAGACCUGCGUUGUAUUAGCUAGUAGGGGAGGUAACGGCUCACCUAGGCGACGAGACAUAGCCGACCUGAGAGGGUGAUCGGCCACACUGCGACUGAGACACGGCCCAGACUCCACGGGAGGCAGCAGUAGGGAAUCUUCAGCAAUGGACGAAAGGCUGAACGAUCAACGCCGGGUGAGAGAAGGAUGUUGUCGGAUCGUAAAGCUCUGUUGGAAUAGAAGAACGGGUGUGAGAGUGGAAAGUUCACACUGUGACGGUAUCUUACCAGAAAGGGACGGCUAACUACGUG
rnacentral:rRNA from 1 species